GCGCCAUCCAAAUUAUCUCACAUCUUUUUUCAUCGCAUAAAAUCAAUUUGUGUGUGAGAAAAUUAGAAAAUAAUCCUUAUUUUGUCACCUAUUAAGGAUACAAAUUGGUUGUUUUUGAUUUGAAUUCAAAUUGAUUUGAAUUUCAACUUAAAACCUUAUUCAUAUCCUUCCAUAUGUUGACAGCUUCUAAAGGUGCCCAUUGUGUAUGG
rnacentral:lncRNA from 1 species